CACUAUAUGUCCUUUGUGUUUGUAAUGCCUCUAGUUAUUGUCUAACUAACACACUUACUUACUUAGAUAAAUUGCUUGCUUAAUUCUUAUCCGCACAUCCUUUAGUUGCAAGCAUAUUUAAUCAAGUCGAAGUCUAUACAUCAAACCCUUGCUAAGUUUAACUUUCACUGUGCAUCUAUACAACUUAGCAUAGUUAAUCAUAAAGUUUUAGA
rnacentral:lncRNA from 1 species